rnacentral:rRNA from 1 species
GACGAACGCUGGCGGCGUGCCUAAUACAUGCAAGUCGAACGCAGUGGGGACGGGUGAGUAACACGUGGGUAACCUCCCAUCAGAGGGGAUAACACUUGGAAACAGGUGCUAAACCGAUACUGAUGGAUGGACCCGCGGUGCAUGAGCUAGUUGUGGAGGUAACGGCUCACCAAGGCCACGAUGCAUAGCCGACCGGAAAGGGGGAUCGGCCAAACGGGGAAUGAGACACGGCCCAGACUCCAACGGGAGGCAGCAGUAGGGAAUCUUCGGCAACGGACGAAAGUCUGACCGAGCCACGCGGCAUGAGUGAAGAAGGUUUUCGGAUCGUAAAACUCUGUUGUUAGAGAAGCGGUAUCUAACCAAAAAGCCACGGCUAACUACGUGCCAGCAGCCGCGGUAAUAC